GCAUAUCAAUAAGCGGAGGAAAAGAAACCAACAGGGAUUGCCCCAGUAACGGCGAGUGAAGCGGCAACAGCUCAAAUUUGAAAUCUGGCCCCAGGCCCGAGUUGUAAUUUGCAGAGGAUGCUUUUGGCGCGGUGCCUUCCGAGUUCCCUGGAACGGGACGCCAUAGAGGGUGAGAGCCCCGUACGGUUGGACACCAAGCCUUUGUAAAGCUCCUUCGACGAGUCGAGUAGUUUGGGAAUGCUGCUCUAAAUGGGAGGUACAUUUCUUCUAAAGCUAAAUAUUGGCCAGAGACCGAUAGCGCACAAGUAGAGUGAUCGAAAGAUGAAAAGCACUUUGAAAAGAGGGUUAAACAGCACGUGAAAUUGUUAAAAGGGAAGCGCUUGUGACCAGACUUGCGUCCGGUGAAUCACCCAGCUCUCGCGGCUGGGGCACUUCGCCGGCACAGGCCAGCAUCAGCUUGCCGUCGGGGACAAAAGCUUCAGGAACGUGGCUCCUCUCGGGGAGUGUUAUAGCCUGUUGCAUAAUACCCUUCGGCGGGCUGAGGUACGCGCUCCGCAAGGAUGCUGGCGUAAUGGUCAUCAGCGACCCGUCUUGAAACACGGACCAAGGAGUCAACCUUAUGUGCGAGUGUUUGGGUGUCAAACCCCUACGCGUAAUGAAAGUGAACGCAGGUGAGAGCUUCGGCGCAUCAUCGACCGAUCCUGAUGUUCUCGGAUGGAUUUGAGUAAGAGCAUAUAGGGUUGGACCCGAAAGAAGGUGAACUAUGCGUGUGUAGGGUGAAGCCAGAGGAAACUCUGGUGGAGGCUCGCAGCGGUUCUGACGUGCAAAUCGAUCGUCAAACAUGCGCAUGGGGGCGAAAGACUAAUCGAACCUUCUAGUAGCUGGUUUCCGCG
rnacentral:rRNA from 1 species